rnacentral:rRNA from 1 species
CUUGAUGGCAUCAACUUCUUCGUUGGGAAGUUCUACCUAGGGGAUACUGGCUAUGCAUGUCGGCCUGGUGUUCUUCCAUCCUUCAGGAAAACCAGGUACCAUCAGAACGAGUUCUCUUCCAGGAACUAUCCUAGGACUCCAUAGGAACUGUUUAAUCUCGGUCACUCUAGCCUUAAAGUGACAGUUGAGAGGGCACUUGGAGAUCUGAAGAAUAGGUCUAAGAUCCUGGAUCAAAAGCCAUUCCACCCUUACCCUACCCAGAUUAAGCUUGUUCUUGCAUAUUGCAUCAUUCAUGACUGGAUCCUAUAAUGGGGUUGUGAUGAACUUGUGCCAGAGGAGGAAGAUGUGACGCCUGAUGAUGUUGUCAGCCCCAGCCAUGGUGUGAAUGCAUUUGACAACGAAGCUUGGAAGAACAAAAUGAUGGAGUGGGCUCAGCCAAUGUGGGAUAACAAAGGUUAG